GACGAACGCUGGCGGCGUGCCUAACACAUGCAAGUUGAGCGACGAACCAGGGCUUGCCCUGGGGCAAAGCAGCGAACGGGUGAGUAACACGUGGGUAACCUACCCCGAUAACCGGGACAACCCGAGGAAACUCGGGCUAAUACCGGAUGUGCUCACUGGACUUCGGUUCAGUGCGUAAAGGAAGCUUCGGCCUCCGUAUCGGGAGGGGCCCGCGGCCCAUUAGUUUGUUGGUGAGGUAACGGCUCACCAAGACCGCGAUGGGUAGCUGGUCUGAGAGGACGAUCAGCCACACUGGGACUGAGACACGGCCCAGACUCCUACGGGAGGCAGCAGUGGGGAAUCUUGCGCAAUGCGCGAAAGCGUGACGCAGCAACGCCGCGUGGGGGAAGAAGGCCUUCGGGUUGUAAACCCCUUUUAGGAGGGGCGAAGGUUCGGCGGUGAAUAGCCGUCCGGACUGACGGUACCUCCACAAGAAGCCCCGGCUAACUACGUG
rnacentral:rRNA from 1 species